CGCGACCCCAGGUCAGGCGGGAUUACCCGCUG
rnacentral:rRNA from 1 species